rnacentral:rRNA from 1 species
GAAACAGGUUAAUAUUCCUGUACUUGGUGUUACUGCGAAGGGGGGACGGAGAAGGCUAUGUUAGCCGGGCGACGGUUGUCCCGGUUUAAGCAUGUAGGCUGAUUGUCCAGGCAAAUCCGGAUAAUCAAGGCUGAGGUGUGAUGACGAGGCACUACGGUGCUGAAGUAACAAAUGCCCUGCUUCCAGGAAAAGCCUCUAAGCAUCAGGUAACAUUAAAUCGUACCCCAAACCGACACAGGUGGUCAGGUAGAGAAUACCAAGGCGCUUGAGAGAACUCGGGUGAAGGAACUAGGCAAAAUGGUGCCGUAACUUCGGGAGAAGGCACGCUGGUGUGUAGGUGAAGUCCCUGCGGAUGGAGCUGAGACCAGUCGAAGAUACCAGCUGGCUGCA